GCCGGGAUGGCGGAACUGGUAGACGCGCCUGACUCAAAAUCAGGUGGUGGCAACAUCGUGUGGGUUCAAGUCCCUCUCCCGGCA
rnacentral:tRNA from 1 species